AGUCACUGACAUUAGAUACCCCUGUAGUCCAGGGUGUAAACGCUGCAGACUUGGUGUUGGAAGCCCUUUGGGGGCAUUCAGUGCCGGAGAGAAGUUGUUAAGUCUGCUACUUGGGGAGUACGUCCGUAAGGAUGAAACUUAAAGGAAUUGGCGGGGGAGCACCGCAACGGGAGGAGCGUGCGGUUUAAUUGGAUUCAACACCGUAAACUCACCAGGGAAGACUGUUACAUGAAGGCCGAGAUGAAGACUCUGCUAGAUUUUCAG
rnacentral:rRNA from 1 species